rnacentral:rRNA from 1 species
GCCGCGUAAUUAUCGGGACGUUUCGAACGGACGCUAAUACCGCAUACGUCCUACGGGAGAAAGCAGGGGACCUUCGCCCUGCAGGGCUAUCAGAUGAGCCUAGGUCGGAUUAGCUAGUAGGUGCAGUUAAUGGCUCACCUAGGCGACGAUCCGUAACUGGUCUGAGAGGAUGAUCAGUCACACUGGAACUGAGACACGGUCCAGACUCCUACGGGAGGCAGCAGUGGGGAAUAUUGGACAAUGGGCGAAAGCCUGAUCCAGCCAUGCCGCGUGUGUGAAGAAGGUCUUUGGAUUGUAAAGCACUUUAAGUUGGGAGGAAGGGCAGUAAGUUAAUACCUUGCUGUUUUGACGUUACCAACAGAAUAAGCACCGGCUAACUUCGUGCCAGCAGCCGCGGUAAUACGAAGGGUGCAAGCGUUAAUCGGAAUUACUGGGCGUAAAGCGUGUGUAGGUGGUUUGUUAAGUUGGAUGUGAAAGCCCCGGGCUCAACCUGGGAACUGCAUCCAAAACUGGCAAGCUAGAGUACGGUAGAGGGUGGUGGAAUUUCCUGUGUAGCGGUGAAAUGCGUAGAUAUAGGAAGGAACACCAGUGA